GAGGAGCAGAUGGGCUUGGGAGGAGGGAGGGAGACAGACCCCUUGUUUAAACACAAAUAGCGGUGAUAAUUAAUUAACCAAAGUAGCAGGGGAAAUUAUGAAAAACAUGUGAAAGUGCUGGUUCUGCUGUACACCUUCAUGUUUUUGCCCAAGUCAUCAGAUUUAAUCCAAAAUAUG